rnacentral:rRNA from 1 species
GAUGCGAUUGCUAGAAUGGAAAAUGCAGCUGAACAAGGUAUUGCUAUAGCUGCUGCUAUGGAAGGGGUCGAACGGCAGUGGGGAAACGAAUUUGCAGGUCCACACACCUUAAUAGAAAAUCUUCGAGACCACAUGUUCAAGCCUUCCUUGUCAACUAUCAUAACUGAAAAUAGCAGUGUUCCAUCAGUAUCUCCUUCAGAUCUGGUAACUCUUGCUGCCAAAAAGAUGAGAGAGUACCGAGUUAACUCAGUGGUUGUCAUGACAGGGAACAUGCUGCAAGGCAUUCUCACUUCCAAGGAUUUGGUUUUGCGAGUAGUGGCACAAAAUCUGUCCCCAGAGGUAACUCUCGUAGAAAAGGUCAUGACUGCAAGUCCUGAUUGUGCUACAUUGGACACAUCAAUCCUCGAGGCUCUACAAUCAAUGCACGAUAGAAAAUAUCGUCAUAUUCUUGUUGCAGACAGAAGAGGACAGAUUGUCGCCUGUUUGGACGCUCUACAGUUAACCCACACAGCCAUCUCCAUGGUCGAGGGAGCCUAUGGGGCAAACGAUGUGGCAAAUACCUUGGUUCAGAAGUUUGGGGAUUCAGCACUUGCCUUGCAUCCUGCAGAAGAGUACGACUGGCAUAGUGACGAAUCUCGUACGGCAGCCUCAGACAGUGCUGAAGGGAAGCAAACACCUCCUCAUGUUGGCAAUGCAUUCUCUUUCUAAAUUGAAGACAGAAAAGGGUGGAUGCACAGAUUCAGUUGCGUUUCAGAAAGCUUAGAUGAGCUUGUGUCUGCUAUUGCAUACAGAUUAGGAACAGAAAACGAGAAGGCGAAUGUAAACCUUCUGUACGAUGAUGAUGAAGGUGACAGAGUUCUUCUGGAUACCGAUGGUGAUCUCGUUGCAGCGAUUGAGCAUGCCAGAUCAGCCGGAUGGAAGGUUCUGAGGCUGCACAUGGACUACGGGUCAGAGACCGGCGCAGAGUCCACUCCGACGGCGUCUGUAGAUACCUCGACGGCAAGGAGAGGCUGGCCGUCCCUAUGGCUAGGUAGAGUGGGCAGCGCAGCUGCUGUUGCGGGCGUCGGGGUAAUCGUCUACUUGAGAUGCUCCCGGCAAUGA